rnacentral:rRNA from 1 species
GACGAACGCUGGCGGCGUGCUUAACACAUGCAAGUCGAACGGAAAGGCCCUGCUUUUGUGGGGUGCUCGAGUGGCGAACGGGUGAGUAACACGUGAGUAACCUGCCCUUAACUUUGGGAUAACUUCAGGAAACUGGGGCUAAUACCGGAUAGGAGCUCCUGCUGCAUGGUGGGGGUUGGAAAGUUUCGGCGGUUGGGGAUGGACUCGCGGCUUAUCAGCUUGUUGGUGGGGUAGUGGCUUACCAAGGCUUUGACGGGUAGCCGGCCUGAGAGGGUGACCGGCCACAUUGGGACCGAGAUACGGCCCAGACUCCUACGGGAGGCAGCAGUGGGGAAUAUUGCACAAUGGGCGGAAGCCUGAUGCAGCAACGCCGCGUGCGGGAUGACGGCCUUCGGGUUGUAAACCGCUUUCGCCUGUGACGAAGCGUGAGUGACGGUAAUGGGUAAAGAAGCACCGGCUAACUACGUG